rnacentral:rRNA from 1 species
CCUACGGGAGGCAGCAGUGGGGAAUUUUGCGCAAUGGGGGCAACCCUGACGCAGCAACGCCGCGUGAGUGAUGAAGGCCUUCGGGUCGUAAAGCUCUGUCAGAGGGGAAGAAAUGCAGGUGGUGAACAACCAUUCUGUUUGACGGUACCCUCAAAGGAAGCACCGGCUAACUCCGUGCCAGCAGCCGCGGUAAUACGGAGGGUGCGAGCGUUGUUCGGAAUUAUUGGGCGUAAAGCGCGUGUAGGCGGUUUGUUAAGUCGGAGGUAAAAGCCCCGGGCUCAACCUGGGAAGGGAAUUGGAUACUGGCAGACUUGAGUACGGGAGAGGAGAGUGGAAUCCCAAGUGUAGGAGUGAAAUCCGUAGAUAUUGGGAGGAACACCGGUGGCGAAGGCGGCUCUCUGGACAGAUACUGACGCUGAGACGCGAAAGCGUGGGGGGCAAACAGGUUUAGAUCCCCUGGUAGU